rnacentral:rRNA from 1 species
UACGUAGGGUGCAAGCGUUAAUCGGAAUUACUGGGCGUAAAGCGUGCGCAGGCGGUUAUGCAAGACAGAUGUGAAAUCCCCGGGCUCAACCUGGGAACUGCAUUUGUGACUGCAUGGCUAGAGUACGGUAGAGGGGGACGGAAUUCCGCGUGUAGCAGUGAAAUGCGUAGAUAUGCGGAGGAACACCGAUGGCGAAGGCAAUCCCCUGGACCUGUACUGACGCUCAUGCACGAAAGCGUGGGGAGCAAACAGG